CUCAGUAACACGUGGAUAACCUACCCUUGGGACUGGGAUAACCCCGGGAAACUGGGGAUAAUACCGGAUAGAUCAGGGAUGCUGGAAUGCGCCUUGAUCCAAAGCUCCGGCGCCCAAGGAUGGGUCUGCGGCCUAUCAGGUUGUAGUGGGUGUAACGUACCUACUAGCCGACGACGGGUACGGGUUGUGAGAGCAAGAGCCCGGAGAUGGAUUCUGAGACACGAAUCCAGGCCCUACGGGGUGCAGCAGGCGCGAAACCUUUACAAUGUGCGAAAGCAUGAUAAGGGAACUCCGAGUGCCAGCAUCUAAUGCUGGCUGUCCUUGUGCCUAAAACGCACAAGAUAGCAAGGGCCGGGUAAGACCGGUGCCAGCCGCAGAAAGAGACACCGGCGGCCCGAGUGGUAGCCGCUAUUAUUGGGUCUAAAGGGUCCGUAGCCGGUUCGAUAAGUCCUCUGGGAAAUCUGGUUGCUUAACAAUCAGACUGCCAAGGGAUACUGUCGAACUUGAGACCGGGAGAGGUAAGAGGUACUUCAGGGGUAGGAGUGAAAUCUUGUAAUCCCUGGGGGACCAUCUGUGGCGAAGGCGUCUUACCAGAACGGGUCUGACGGUGAGGGACGAAAGCUGGGGGCGCAAACCGGAUUAGAUACCCGGGUAGUCCCAGCCGUAAACGAUGCUCGCUAUGUGUCAGGUACGGUGUGACCGUAUCUGGUCCGUAGGGAAACCCCAGGCGCCCCUGGAAGUACGUCGCAAGACUGAAACUAAA
rnacentral:rRNA from 1 species